rnacentral:misc_RNA from 1 species
CUUGAAGACUCUUGGAAUGUGUCGUAUGUCCGUGGCUGACAUGACUCGAAAGUUUUGGGACAAGUUCCCAAAUCUUGAAGAAGUCAAGCUCCACAUUAAUGAAUUUGGAGAUCAUGUUUCUGAUUACCCAAGCUCUGCAUUGAUGAAUUUGGAUACUAUUAUUCUCCCCUCGCGUCUCAAGUGUUUGUCCCUCAGUGAAAUGUUCCUAACGCAUGAAUUAGUUUCAAGCAUUGCAGAAUUGCGAUGCCUUGAGACUCUUAAAUUAUCUGAGAUAUACUUUGCAGGGAGUCAUUGGGUUCUCGAUGCUUACACGUUUGAACAACUCAAGUUUUUGAAAUUACAUCAUGUUUUUAUGACCAAAUGGAGUUGCAGAGAGGAAUCAUUUCCUUGCCUUGAGUAUCUUGUUAUAAA